GUGAGCGAGGAACUCUCUAGAGCAAACCCUAAAAUCCCCGUCAAACCCUAAAUUCCCUGCAUAUAAAUGCAGCUUCGAGUAUAAUCGGCGGAUCCUAUCGCUGAUCUCUCUCCGGCGUCGAACCACCGGGGCUGCCAGCGAAAAAUCGACGAUAUGCGGCAAAUCCAGAAUCUGCUUACGGAUUCAGGUCCCGGUUAGUCGUAGAUCCGGGGACUGUUUUCAUCAGUUCGGCGUCUCCUUGUUGUCAAGGGACAGGGUGUAAGUAAGGAAUGGAUUACUGCACGGCGAACCCAUGUCUUGUUGAAUUUAGAGGUUCGGGUGAAUGGUGGGAUGAGAAGUUGUUCAUGUUGUACUUAUAUUUUAAUACCAUGCAGCAAAGUGUCUACUAUUUGCGUAGAUAUUUGCUUUUUAUUAAAAAAAAGCAUGUCUUGCGGUUCAUAUUUAAUAAUUUAGUUGUCCAAAAUGAGGUUGUAACAUUAUCCUUUAUUAUUUUGCAAUCAAUUGUGAUUAGGGGUGGAUGUUUCGAUUCAAUUCUUUGGAAUCGAACCGGAAAAUACGAUAUUUUUUUU